UCAAACUGCUGGUAACCAAAGGUGAAAAAAUACAUCUCAAAAGCAGCCAGAGAAAAGUGAAAGAUGACAUACAAGGAAACUACAAUUAAAUUAAUCAUGGACUGUUCAUCAUUAACUAUGAAGGCCAAAAAUUAGAAAUAAAAUUUAAAAAAAUCCAACAAAGAAUUUAACAAAAAAUAAAAUAUUCACAACUAAUAAUAUGAAAAAAAACCCUUUCCAAAAAAAGAAAAAGAAAAAGAAUAAAGAAAACUAAGAGAAUCUAUCACCAGCAAACCUGUACUAUAAAAGGUAGUUUUUCAGGCUGAAAAACAACUCAAGUCUUCUCGAAUAAAGGAAAAGUAUCCCAGUGAUUAUUUAGAACAAAAAUUACAGCAUCAUCUUCUUGGGUUUAUAACAUAUGGGGAUAUAAUACACUAGGCAGCUAUGUCAGAGGCAUGUGAACCACAGCAACUCCAUCUUACAUAGGAACUGGGUAAAAUGAGGCUGAAACCUACUGGGCUGCAUUCCCAGAUGGUUAGUGCAUUCUAAGUCACAGGAUGAGAUACGAGGUCAGCACAAAAUACAGGUGAUAAAGACUUUGCUGAUUAAACAGGUUGCAGUAAAGGAGCUGGGCUAAACCCACCAAAACCAAAAUGGCAACCAGAGUGACCUCUGGUAGUCCUCACUGCUACACUCCCACCAUGCCAUGACAGUUUACAAAUGCCAUGACAAUGUCAAGAAUUUACCCUAUAUGGUCUAAAAAGGGGAGGUAUCAAUAAUCCAUGCAUUUUUUUAGCAUAUCAUCAAGAAAUAACCAUAAAAAAUGGGCAACCAGCAGCCCCUUGGGGCUUCCCUGUCUCUGGAGUAGCCAUUCUUUUAUUCCUUUACUUUCUUAAUAAACUUGCUUUCACUUUGCCCUGCAGAGUCGCACUGAAUUCUUUACUGCUCAAGGUCCAAAAACCCUCUCUUGGGGUCUGGAUCGGGACCCCUGUCCUGUAACAUAUUUCUGGUGGACCAUGGAAGGGAUGAUACUGAAGAGACCCCCAACCCAAAGGAAAAUCAUCUGUGUGCACCAGUUGGCUGACUUUGGGGAUACUUCAGGAUAAAACACGGGCUUAGAACACCUGUAAACCCACUUUUCAAGCUGACCCAGCAAGCUGGUCGGUAACAAACUUGGCUGCAAGUCUCUGGAACAACCAGAAAAACUGGAUGAAGUCUCCACCUUGUUUUAUGUCCUUGGGAGCUUGACCUUUUAACCAGGUGGCAUACUUUAUCUUGGUCUCCACCUUUCAGGGAAUGGGAAUUUUAGGGUUCAUGUCAUAGUUAGCUCUAAAAAUCAUAUUAAAUACAAGCCUUUGCAAGCUCAAAAUUAACUACUCUAGACUCCUUCUAGGAAAGGAAAUGGAGAUUCACCCAUGCUUUAAGGUCAUAAACUGCUUUUUUAACUUUUAAAAACUGUUCAAUUUACCUACCUUAAAGCCAUUAGAUUCUAGAUAAGGCCUGGAGACAUGUGGAAUUAGCCAUGCCCCCUAGCUAUACAAAGACAAUUAUAAAGAAAAAGAUUUUAUAUAAGAAAGGAUGUUGUGCUAUAAAUUCUUGUCCUAAAGUAAAAUGACUGGUUGUUUAAAAGGAGGGAUGUUUAGGGCAAGUCAGAAAGUCCAAGAAUGUCUCAGAUGGUCUGUGUAAGCUGUGAAAGGAUUUGUGAAUAGGAAUUUAUGCAAAAAAUGUUGUACAAUUCAAAAGUUGUUAGGUUUCCUAAGUGCUUCAUAAAAUGCCACUGUGACUUACUGUACAACUUGCCUGCUUUACAGCUAGACAAGGUCUGGGGACAUGUGGAGUUAGCCAUGCCCCCUAACUAUGCUGGAGAGUCAGCUCUUAUCUGCACUUCUGCCUGGUGUGUCCUAGGCUAGGCUCCACACCUAGUACAUAAUUAAAAUCUCAAAGUUACCAAGGUUUUCACCAAAAAUAAAAAAUAAAAUAUAACAUGUAACUGACACUACUAAAGAAACAAUUUUACAUGCAAAGUGUGUAAAGAAAGUAAAAUGUGUUUUUUGUGAAAGAUUAUAAGAAGACAUGGGAAUGUGGAUUUUUUCUGCCUAAAGUGUUAAAGGAUUGUUUUAAGUAAGAGAAAACGCUAAAGAUUUAAACAAGUUGUGGAAGGCUUAUAAAAAUUAAUUGUAAGAGAUUCUGUGUGUGAACAUAUUGGCUAAAGUUAAAGGGGUGUUAUUCAGUUUUUCCAUAAACUAAACAUUGGAAUAAAAGCACAACAGGUUUUUCUUAAAGCAUUGAUCUGCUCUUUCACACACAAAAAUGUAAAGGGUUGUAAAAGAUUUAUAAAAAUCCUACCUUAUGUUUAAACAUUAAAAUUGGAUAAAUAUGUCUAUAAGGUUUUAUUAAAAAUUGGAUUUAACAUUAAGAAUACAUUAAUGUAAACAUGUAAUUUGGCUUAUUUAGUAUAAAGAUCAUACAGGAAGCAUUAUCAAAUGUCAAAUGGUAUUUUGCUUUCUUUGGGCUGUAUUUGCAUAAACUUAUUAUUGGUAUAUGUUCCAAAGUUAUGGGAAACUCCUAUAAUUGUAACAUGACAUAGUGUAUGGUAUUAAUAAUUAUAAUUGUUAUAUAACAUUUUGUGUGCCACAGAAGUAACCAAAUUUCCUUAUCAAUUGUGGCUUUAAUAGUAGCUGUCCUAAAACUUUUUAUCAUCCACAGACAAUUAUUGUCUUUUUUAAAUCCUCUUUAGAAGGUGGUUUAUAAUCAACUGCAGAACUCUAGCAGCUGUUCUUAAAUGCAGGUUUCUAAUAACUUCGGAAAUUGUAACAUUAGAAUAGAGGAAACAACUUUCAGAGUUCUCAUGAAUAGCUGGAAUGUUCAUGGAUAUUAAAUAGAACAGGAGUUAACUGAAUUAACUGAACCAAUAGAAAAUGGAAGUAAUCUUUUUAAUUUUGCUUAAAAUGCUGCUGAUCCUUUGUUUUGUUUUUCAGAGUCAAGGAAACUUUUCUUUUGAGCUAUUUACAGCUUUUAGCAAUUGAGUAAAGUAUACUCCUGUGAACAAAAUUUGGAGCAUAUUUGUUUCUCUCUCUCUCAUUUCUCCAACAUUUGGAAACUAUUUGUAAGUAUUCUUAAAUUAAUGACAAUAUAGUUAAUUGCAUAAGUGCAAUAAGAAUUUGUUUUCCUUUGUAACAAGACACAAUUGGGGAGAUUGAUUAUCUCACCAAGGCUUUAACUGAAAUGGUGUGCUUUCCUUUAAGGAAUCAAAUUUGACUUGUAAAGCCAAUAAAAGAUCCUUGGAGAAUUGGCCUCAGACCUUGCCUGCAACAGUCCCUGUACAGGGUUUCUGAUCUGUGAUAAGUAAAGAAUGUCACUUUCUGACAGGUCCAGGAGCCCCAAGUUAUCUUGGGACACCAAGAGGACAGGAAUUUACUCAACUCAUAGAUAUUUGAGGGUACAAACUCAUGGUUGAGCUUGGCUUUAAAAAGUCUAAUCUAAGAUUCCUUCUAUGGAACAGAGUUCCAUCAAAGGCAGUUAAAAAUAGCCUAUAUGCAGUGAGGCUCCGCCUUGGUUUUCUCAGCUGUGAUGUGUAGUCUCCAAACAGCUUAAGGGUUUUUAAGGAGUUUUCUCACAUGGUCACCUCCACUCCACUCAGUUACCAUCAGCAUCAGAAAGGUUAACAUCCCUGGGACCAUUCCAGUUUUAAAAGAGAUGAACUAGUGUGCUUUCUCCCCUUUUACAAGUGUGCCAUCCAUAUACAGUCUCCUCUUGGCCAAGUUCAACAAGUGUUUCCAGGGAACCCUCUGGGUUGAGGCAAAAUAGCCAAGAUGUAUUGAGUUUAAGUUUUUCGGGGAGGAGCCAAGAUGGCCGAAUAGGAACAGCUCCGGUCUACAGCUCCCAGCAUGAGCGACGCAGAAGACGGG
rnacentral:lncRNA from 1 species